CAUUCCAGAAGCCACUGAGACUACCGUCACUCCAGAAGCCACUGAGACCACCGUCAUUCCAGAAGCCACUGAGACCACAGGCUCAUCAAAAGACACAAGACCCCGGGGCCAGAAGGCAAAAAAAAGACAAAAUCCAGUCCAACAGAGGGUAGCCAGCAAUAUGAAGCCAAAAAAAAGUAUGAGUGUCCAGAAUGCUGUUGGAGAGUGAGGCAAAACAACUUUGACUACUCCAAGGUUUUGAAAAGAAGAGUGAGAGAGGGAACAGAGGAGGUCCUCAUUUGUUGGGUUCCAUGCAAGACCUGAUGACAUUGAGCGGAGAACAUCAUGAUGGUGCUGGUUCCACCCCAGGGCAGGAAGUAGAACAGUAGUUGGCAUGCCGUGUAGAUGUACUAUCAUUAUCUGCCUCUGUAAUUGGAUAGAAGACCAGUAGUAGUUGUCUUUUGAUCCAUUAUUCAUUGGCAAUGCAAUAAUUAUGCAUUCAAAGCAUCAAAUUGAUUUAAUAUUGGCAUAUAAUUAUAAAUAGAUUUAAAUACAUUAGAAAGAGAACUGUUUCAAUUUCCAAGAAACAAAUGUUACUUGUUUUACACAAGCUGAACAGGAUUAAACAAAAUAACCUGUAUUAUGAAAAUCAGGUGAUCAGAGAACAAAUAUAAAAUAAUGGUUCAUACACUAAUAAUAAUUAUCUUGUCUUUUUAGACUUCUAAAGCUAUACAGAUCCACUUUGGGAACUGGAAACCCUUAAAGCUCACCUUCACCUGGAAAUGAGAGAAUGGGUAUAUGUCUACAGGUCUCGGUGACUUGACAGAGGAUGCUACCUAUGGGCUCAACAGUCUCAUCAAUCGGAGGUCACUCAGAAGUCAACACAGACAGACUGUAAAUGCAAACAGCAGUAUAGGCGCUUUCGAUUACAUUGAGGACAGGACCAGUGCACUGAAGAUGUGUACUAAAUAAACCUGCCUUGCUUUUAUAUCAAACAGCGCUUUUUAUGAAGGGAUUUACAGUAUAAGGGAAUUUUCAUCAGAAACCCAACUGUUAGAAAAUAGUGCACUUUGAUUUUUACAUUUCAAACCAAAGCUACUAAGUGUUUUCACCCAUAGCUUAGAGAUAAUAAAGAGCCACAUAUCUUCAGGAAAGUAUUGACAAUAUAAAUAAUGGCACUUUGCUAAAAAGUUCAGAUUAUGUAUUGUUAUUAGAAACAAGGACAACAUACUAAC